GACGAACGCUGGCGGCGUGCUUAACACAUGCAAGUCGAACGGAAAGGCCCCUUUUGGGGUACUCGAGUGGCGAACGGGUGAGUAACACGUGAGUAACCUGCCCUUGACUUCGGGAUAACUUCAGGAAACUGGGGCUAAUACCGGCUAGGAAUCCUUGCUGCAUGGUGGGGGUUGGUAAGCUUCGGCGGUUUUGGAUGGACUCGCGGCUUAUCAGCUUGUUGGUGGGGUAGUGGCGUACAAAGGCUUUGACGGGUAGCCGGCCUGAGAGGGCGACCGGCCACAUUGGGACUGAGAGACGGCCCAGACUCCUACGGGAGGCAGCAGUGGGGAAUAUUGCACAAUGGGCGGAAGCCUGAUGCAGCAACGCCGCGUGCGGGAUGACGGCCUUCGGGUUGUAAACCGCUUUCAGCAGGGGCGAAGCUUUUGUGACGGUACCUGCAGAAGAAGCACCGGCUAACUACGUG
rnacentral:rRNA from 1 species